rnacentral:rRNA from 1 species
CAUUACACANAUAUGAACCGGGACUGGGAUAGGGCCUCGCUGCCUUGCCCGUCUGGCGCCAUAUUCACCCAUGUCUUUUUGCGUACUACUUGUUUCCUUGGCGGGUCCGCCCGCCAAUUGGACCUUAUUCAAACCUUUUUUUUCAGUUGCAAUCAGCGUCAGCAAAACAAAUGUAAUCAAUUACAACUUUCAACAACGGAUCUCUUGGUUCUGGCAUCGAUGAAGAACGCAGCGAAAUGCGAUAAGUAGUGUGAAUUGCAGAAUUCAGUGAAUCAUCGAAUCUUUGAACGCACAUUGCGCCCUUUGGUAUUCCAAAGGGCAUGCCUGUUCGAGCGUCAUUUGUACCCUCAAGCUUUGCUUGGUGUUGGGCGUCUUGUCUCUCUCCCGAGACUCGCCUUAAAAUCAUUGGCAGCCGGCCUACUGGUUUCGGAGCGCAGCACAUUAUUUGCGCUCUUGUCCAGCCGCGGUCGCGCGUCCAUGAAGCUUCUUUCAACCUUUUGACCUCGGAUCAGGUAGGGAUACCCGCUGAACUUAAGCAUAUC